rnacentral:lncRNA from 1 species
GUUCUUUUCCCUUCACAUUGAUUAUGUGUGGAAGCAAGUCACGGCCCUAUGCUAGCGCUCAAAUGACGCUGCUUUGCCCUAGAAAUGUUUCCAACAGAUAAAAGUAUUUAUGAACAUUGAGAAAACCAGGGCAUGUGCUCUGAUCACGUGGAAUAUUCAUUUCACCAGAAGGUACAUGUCAGUCACUACAAGAAGAUCACAUUUGAAAUGACAACAGUGUUUCAGUAAUGAAACCAUAGCCUUUCAGAGACUUCAUGAAGAUACCACAGAACUGCCACAUCCACACCUUGGAAACAGGCCAGGUGGGCACCCUAAUCACUGCUGACAGUGGGACAAGGAGGGUGAGACUGAUGAGUCCAAGUCAGUCAGCUCAGCUGUUAGAUGAAGAUAUCCUUGAGUACAAAACCUUGCUGUGUUUCACAGGUGACUCUUGUACCAUAUCUGCUGGCUUAUAAGCAGUAGUCGGUUAAGUGAAGGCUUUUUGUUUUGUGUAAAUGCCUGAGCAGUGAAAUGAUCUCUGUAUCGCUCUGAAGUCUGUGAGGCAUGAGUAAGUACCAUUUCUCCUUGUUUGACGGGAGUGGUUUUACCCUUGUAUGCGCUCUCUGUGCCUCACACUGUGAAUGGGUAUAACCAGGCAUCCCAACAGUGGCUCACCUGAUGGCUGUUCCAGGAAGGGUAGAGAUUUUUUUUUUUCAAAGCACCUUCCAAACUUUGCAGGUUCUCAAAUAGGAAAAGAAGGCAAAGAGACAAAGUGAUUUGGGGAUUAUUUCCUGUUCUGUGGUAAUAGCUUUUACUUAGUGUGGCAUGCCCCCUAAAAAUCCAUCAUGAUGUCAGGAAACUGAAUCUGCUCUGCAGUCAUGGGAAAUAAAACCAGCUAGCCUCCUCACUCCUGGCCUUCUUCAGGUCUGUGCGUGUCUGAUGUGCAGGGUCUUAAUCACAAGGAUGCUGGUUUACAAGGGUCCCUCAGAGCCUUUCUUCAAACCCCUUCCAUUUUUAGUAUGCCUCCCCCAGAUAGAUAUUUGGCAUGCCUUAAUCAGCAGUUAGAACCCCUUCUCGAUAAAUUGAGGGCUGUGAUUUCAAGAGUCUUUUUGAACUCUAAGCUGAAGCCUUUACAAUAAAUUGGGAGUGUGGCAGGGAAGAUGACUGUUUUGUUUUUUUUUUUUAAUUCAAAUCCUAUUUAUAUACUAUUAAAUUUGAGGUACUAUAGUUUAUAUAAAAGUUGAAUAUUUAGAUGAUAUAUUUCAGUAUUAGGAAUUUGUCUGAAGCCAUUAUUAACAAAUUAAAUAAUAAGUAUGAAAAUGAUUGUCAGUAAAUUAUCAUAUUGAAU